CGCUCUUAGUGGUGGAUCACUCAGCUUGUGCGUCGAUUAACGUGAAUUGCAGGACACAUUGAUCAUCAAUGCUUCAAAUGCACUUGCGGCCCUGGUUUCCUGCUGGGGCUAUACCUGUCUGAGUGUCG
ensembl:rRNA 5_8S_rRNA 5.8S ribosomal RNA